CCGGCGAUGUCCGAAUGGGGAAACCCAGUGCAAUUCGUUGCACUAUCGUUAACUGAAUACAUAGGUUAACGAGGCGAACCGGGGGAACUGAAACAUCUAAGUACCCCGAGGAAAAGAAAUCAACCGAGAUUCCCCCAGUAGCGGCGAGCGAACGGGGAGCAGCCCAGAGUCUGAAUCAGCUUGUGUGUUAGUGGAACGGUCUGGAAAGUCCGACGGUACAGGGUGAUAGUCCCGUACACCAAAAUGCACAGGCUGUGAACUCGAAGAGUAGGGCGGGACACGUGGUAUCCUGUCUGAAUAUGGGGGGACCAUCCUCCAAGGCUAAAUACUCCUGACUGACCGAUAGUGAACCAGUACCGUGAGGGAAAGGCGAAAAGAACCCCGGCGAGGGGAGUGAAAAAGAACCUGAAACCGUGUACGUACAAGCAGUGGGAGCACCUUCGGGUGUGACUGCGUACCUUUUGUAUAAUGGGUCAGCGACUUAUAUUCUGUAGCAAGGUUAACCGUAUAGGGGAGCCGCAGGGAAACCGAGUCUUAACUGGGCGUUAAGUUGCAGGGUAUAGACCCGAAACCCGGUGAUCUAGCCAUGGGCAGGUUGAAGGUUGGGUAACACUAACUGGAGGACCGAACCGACUAAUGUUGAAAAAUUAGCGGAUGACUUGUGGCUGGGGGUGAAAGGCCAAUCAAACCGGGAGAUAGCUGGUUCUCCCCGAAAGCUAUUUAGGUAGCGCCUCGUGAACUCAUCUUCGGGGGUAGAGCACUGUUUCGGCUAGGGGGUCAUCCCGACUUACCAACCCGAUGCAAACUACGAAUACCGAAGAAUGUUAUCACGGGAGACACACGGCGGGUGCUAACGUCCGUCGUGAAGAGGGAAACAACCCAGACCGCCAGCUAAGGUCCCAAAGUCAUGGUUAAGUGGGAAACGAUGUGGGAAGGCACAGACAGCCAGGAUGUUGGCUUAGAAGCAGCCAUCAUUUAAAGAAAGCGUAAUAGCUCACUGGUCGAGUCGGCCUGCGCGGAAGAUGUAACGGGGCUAAACCAUGCACCGAAGCUGCGGCAGCGACACUAUGUGUUGUUGGGUAGGGGAGCGUUCUGUAAGCCUGCGAAGGUGACCUGUGAGGGUUGCUGGAGGUAUCAGAAGUGCGAAUGCUGACAUAAGUAACGAUAAAGCGGGUGAAAAGCCCGCUCGCCGGAAGACCAAGGGUUCCUGUCCAACGUUAAUCGGGGCAGGGUGAGUCGACCCCUAAGGCGAGGCCGAAAGGCGUAGUCGAUGGGAAACAGGUUAAUAUUCCUGUACUUGGUGUUACUGCGAAGGGGGGACGGAGAAGGCUAUGUUAGCCGGGCGACGGUUGUCCCGGUUUAAGCAUGUAGGCUGGUUAUCCAGGCAAAUCCGGAUAAUCAAGGCUGAGGUGUGAUGACGAGGCACUACGGUGCUGAAGUAACAAAUGCCCUGCUUCCAGGAAAAGCCUCUAAGCAUCAGGUAACAUCAAAUCGUACCCCAAACCGACACAGGUGGUCAGGUAGAGAAUACCAAGGCGCUUGAGAGAACUCGGGUGAAGGAACUAGGCAAAAUGGUGCCGUAACUUCGGGAGAAGGCACGCUGGUGUGUAGGUGAAGUCCCUGCGGAUGGAGCUGAGACCAGUCGAAGAUACCAGCUGGCUGCAACUGUUUAUUAAAAACACAGCACUGUGCAAACACGAAAGUGGACGUAUACGGUGUGACGCCUGCCCGGUGCCGGAAGGUUAAUUGAUGGGGUUAUCCGUAAGGAGAAGCUCUUGAUCGAAGCCCCGGUAAACGGCGGCCGUAACUAUAACGGUCCUAAGGUAGCGAAAUUCCUUGUCGGGUAAGUUCCGACCUGCACGAAUGGCGUAAUGAUGGCCAGGCUGUCUCCACCCGAGACUCAGUGAAAUUGAACUCGCUGUGAAGAUGCAGUGUACCCGCGGCAAGACGGAAAGACCCCGUGAACCUUUACUAUAGCUUGACACUGAACAUUGAGCCUUGAUGUGUAGGAUAGGUGGGAGGCUUUGAAGCGUGGACGCCAGUCUGCGUGGAGCCAACCUUGAAAUACCACCCUUUAAUGUUUGAUGUUCUAACGUUGGCCCCUGACCGGGGUUGCGGACAGUGUCUGGUGGGUAGUUUGACUGGGGCGGUCUCCUCCCAAAGCGUAACGGAGGAGCACGAAGGUUAGCUAAUCCUGGUCGGACAUCAGGAGGUUAGUGCAAUGGCAUAAGCUAGCUUGACUGCGAGCGUGACGGCGCGAGCAGGUGCGAAAGCAGGUCAUAGUGAUCCGGUGGUUCUGAAUGGAAGGGCCAUCGCUCAACGGAUAAAAGGUACUCCGGGGAUAACAGGCUGAUACCGCCCAAGAGUUCAUAUCGACGGCGGUGUUUGGCACCUCGAUGUCGGCUCAUCACAUCCUGGGGCUGAAGUAGGUCCCAAGGGUAUGGCUGUUCGCCAUUUAAAGUGGUACGCGAGCUGGGUUUAGAACGUCGUGAGACAGUUCGGUCCCUAUCUGCCGUGGGCGCUGGAGAAUUGAGGGGGGCUGCUCCUAGUACGAGAGGACCGGAGUGGACGCAUCACUGGUGUUCGGGUUGUCAUGCCAAUGGCACUGCCCGGUAGCUAAAUGCGGAAGAGAUAAGUGCUGAAAGCAUCUAAGCACGAAACUUGCCCCGAGAUGAGUUCUCCCUGAGACUUUAAGUCUCCUGAAGGAACGUU
rnacentral:rRNA from 2 species